rnacentral:rRNA from 1 species
GAUUUCUGGCGAACCGUUGCGGCCCGUGGUCGUUUCGGCCGUGUGUGCCGUGCCGUGUUUGUCAUCCUUCCAGAGAGCUGCGUCUACCAUUCACUUGGCCGGACGUACGCGAUCUGGAUCUAUUACUUUGAAAAAAUUAGAGUGUUUAAAGCAGGCUUUCGCUAUGAAUACAUUAGCAUGGAAUAAUAAUUUAGGACUUUGGCCCUAUUUUGUUGGUUUCUAGGACUGAAGUAAUGAUUGAUAGGGAUAGUUGGGGGUGCUCGAAUUCAGCGGCCAGAGGUGAAAUUCUUGGAUUCGCUGAAGACGAACUCAUGCGAAAGCAUU